GACGAACGCUGGCGGCGUGCUUAACACAUGCAAGUCGAACGAUGAAGGCUGGAGCUUGCUCCGGCUGGAUUAGUGGCGAACGGGUGAGUAACACGUGAGCAAUCUGCCCUUGACUCUGGGAUAACUCCGAGAAAUCGGUGCUAAUACCGGAUAUGACCCUUGGCGGCAUCGCUGGGGGUGGAAAGUUUUUCGGUCAAGGAUGAGCUCGCGGCCUAUCAGCUUGUUGGUGAGGUAAUGGCUCACCAAGGCGACGACGGGUAGCCGGCCUGAGAGGGUGACCGGCCGCACUGGACUGGGACACGGCCCAGACUCCUACGGGAGGCAGCAGUGGGGAAUAUUGCACAAUGGGCGCAAGCCUGAUGCAGCAACGCCGCGUGGGGGAUGACGGCCUUCGGGUUGUAAACCUCUUUUAGCAGGGAAGAAGCGAAAGUGACGGUACCUGCAGAAAAAGCACCGGCUAACUACGUGCCAGCCGCCGCGGUAA
rnacentral:rRNA from 1 species